UGCUGCACAUGAAGCUGCCACCACACUCGAUGGAACUAGGUAGAUCUCUGUUCCUGGGAAUCUUGGUCAUAUCCCCAUAAAAGCUCUUAUUACAUUGUUCUGUAACUGUGGCCUGCCUUGAGAGCCUAGACAAUCUAAUUUAUCCUGUUACCGUAUUACUUGGUGCUGUUCAUUCAGUAUUUAGGUGUCUAUUGAAUUAUUGCAUUUACCAUUUGAGAAGUAGUAGAAUUAUUAUAAUGCACACUCAUGUGAAUGAAACAUCCCACACCCUGUGCAAAGGAUUUUUUGGCAAGUGUCAGGAAUUAUGCUAAAUAUGUAAAAGGCACUUGGUUACAUUUAUGCAACUUUGUAUAAAUAAAGCCAACAGAUUUAUUAUUUGGAAAAACCAGGUUAGAUACUAGUGGCUUAAGAGAUGUCCCUAAUUCUGUCAUCUAAACUUAAAAACUGAACAUGAAAGCAUUUUAAUAAUUCCAUACAUCUUGACUGCCUGUGAAAAUACUUUUUCAUAUGUAAUUAAAGCUAACAAACUCAAAAGGGUCUUCAGGUGUCAAGGUAUAUAAUGUACUCAACUAAAAAAGUUAAAGAAUGGUCCUUGGAGCUAUUCUGCUGAAUUCGUCUAACUCAUCUGCCUUUAAUAGCUGUGUGAUCUUGGGCAAGUUACUUGAUAAUUCUGUACCUCCUUUUUCUCAGCCAUAAAUUAAAGAUGAUAAUAUUACUUUACCUGGUUGUGGUGAAGAAUAUGCCUGAGCUAAUGCAUGUUAAAUACUUAAAAAGAAUGGCUGACAUAAAAAAUACUUCAUACAUGUUAAUUAUAAUUAAUUUAAAGUGAUUUAUUAUUUAAACAUAAAUACUUAAUGUGCAUGAUUUCUGUCUUGUAAAGAUAAUUGCUUGAAUGUGUGACUAUCUGAUUUAAAAGAAAUUUAACAUUUUUGCUAACAGUUCCCUCUUAUCAGAGGUUUUACUUUCCUUGGUUUCUGUUUCCCAUAGUUAGCCGCAAUCUGAAAGUAAUAAAUAGAAAAUUUCAGAAAUAAACAAUUAAUGAGUUUUGAGUUGUGUAACAUUUUUGAGUAUUGCAUAAUGAAAUCUUGUAUUUUCCCACCCAAGACAUGGAUCAUCCUUUUGUUCAGUGUGUCCAUGCUGUAUAUACUACCUGCCUAAUAGUUACUUACUAGAGUCUGGGUUAUCAGAACAACUGUGGUAGUAUUCCAGUGCUGCUUUGUUCAAGUAAAUGUACAGCAGCCAGAUGCUGUGUAACUCACUCCAUCUUAUGUCAACAUUGUAUUAUCUCACAUCUUAAGACAAAGAAGGGAGUGAGUACAAUAAGGCAUUUUGAGAGAGG
rnacentral:lncRNA from 1 species